GACGAACGCUGGCGGCGUGCUUAACACAUGCAAGUCGAGCGAUGAAGCUUCUUCGGAAGUGGAUUAGCGGCGGACGGGUGAGUAACACGUGGGCAACCUGCCUUGUAGAGGGGGAUAGCCUUCCGAAAGGAAGAUUAAUACCGCAUAAAAAACCGACUUGGCAGGGUUUGCUUUCAAAGAUUUAUCGCUUACAAGAUGGGCCGCCGUCGCAUUAGCUAGUUGGUGAGGUAACGGCUCACCAAGGCCACGAUGCGUAGCCGACCUGAGAGGGUGAUCGGCCACAUUGGAACUAAGACACGGUCCAGACUCCUACGGGAGGCAGCAGUGGGGAAUAUUGCACAAUGGGCGAAAGCCUGAUGCAGCAACGCCGCGUGAGUGAUGAAGGUCUUCGGAUUGUAAAGCUCUUUGAUUAGGGACGAUAAUGACGGUACCUAAAGAACAAGCCACGGCUAACUACGUGCCAGCCGCCGCGGUAA
rnacentral:rRNA from 1 species